rnacentral:rRNA from 1 species
AAGUCGAGGGGCAGCAUGAUUGAAGCUUGCUUCAAUUGAUGGCGACCGGCGCACGGGUGAGUAACGCGUAUCCAACCUUCCGUACACUCAGGGAUAGCCUUUCGAAAGAAAGAUUAAUACCUGAUGGUAUGAUGAGAUUGCAUGAUAUCAUCAUUAAAGAUUCAUCGGUGUACGAUGGGGAUGCGUUCCAUUAGGUAGUAGGCGGGGUAACGGCCCACCUAGCCUACGAUGGAUAGGGGUUCUGAGAGGAAGGUCCCCCACAUUGGAACUGAGACACGGUCCAAACUCCUACGGGGGGCAGCAGUGAGGAAUAUUGGUCAAUGGACGAGAGUCUGAACCAGCCAAGUAGCGUGAAGGAUGAAGGUCCUACGGAUUGUAAACUUCUUUUAUAAGGGAAUAAAACCUCCCACGUGUGGGAGCUUGUAUGUACCUUAUGAAUAAGCAUCGGCUAACUCCGUGCCAGCAGCCGCGGUAAUACGGAGGAUGCGAGCGUUAUCCGGAUUUAUUGGGUUUAAAGGGAGCGCAGACGGGUCGUUAAGUCAGCUGUGAAAGUUUGGGGCUCAACCUUAAAAUUGCAGUUGAUACUGGCGUCCUUGAGUGCGGUUGAGGUGUGCGGAAUUCGUGGUGUAGCGGUGAAAUGCUUAGAUAUCACGAAGAACUCCGAUUGCGAAGGCAGCACACUAAGCCGUAACUGACGUUCAUGCUCGAAAGUGUGGGUAUCAAACAGGAUUAGAUACCCUGGUAGUCCACACGGUAAACGAUGGAUACUCGCUGUUGGCGAUAUACAGUCAGCGGCUUAGCGAAAGCGUUAAGUAUCCCACCUGGGGAGUACGCCGGCAACGGUGAAACUCAAAGGAAUUGACGGGGGCCCGCACAAGCGGAGGAACAUGUGGUUUAAUUCGAUGAUACGCGAGGAACCUUACCCGGGCUUAA